rnacentral:rRNA from 1 species
GAUGAACGUUAGCGGCGCGCCUAACACAUGCAAGUCGAGCGAGAAGGAAGCAAUUCCUGUAAAGCGGCGCACGGGUGAGUAACACGUAGGUAAUCUACCUCGAAGUGGUGGAUAACCUUCCGAAAGGAGGGCUAAUACAGCAUGAGACCACGGUUUCGAAAGAGAUUGAGGUCAAAGCGGGCCACUAUACAUAAGCUCGCGCUUCGAGAUGAGCCUGCGGCCCAUCAUGGUAGUUGGUAGGGUAAUGGCCUACCAAGCCGAAGACGGGUAGCUGGUCUGAGAGGAUGAUCAGCCACACUGGAACUGAGACACGGUCCAGACUCCUACGGGAGGCAGCAGUGGGGAAUCUUGCGCAAUGGGCGAAAGCCUGACGCAGCGACGCCGCGUGAGUGAUGAAGGCCUCGGUUG